GCAGUCGUGGCCGAGUGGUUAAGGCGAGGGACUAGAAAUUCAUUGGGGUCUCCCCGCACGCUCGCGAACAGUCUCAAAUCCUGUCGACAGCG
rnacentral:tRNA from 2 species